rnacentral:rRNA from 1 species
GGUUAAGCGACUAAGCGUACACGGUGGAUGCCCUGGCAGUCAGAGGCGAUGAAGGGCGUGCUAAUCUGCGAUAAGCGCCGGUAAGGUGAUAUGAACCGUUAUAACCGGCGAUACCCGAAUGGGGAAACCCAGUGUGACUCGUCACACUAUCAUUAACUGAAUCCAUAGGUUAAUGAGGCGAACCGGGGGAACUGAAACAUCUAAGUACCCCGAGGAAAAGAAAUCAACCGAGAUUCCCCCAGUAGCGGCGAGCGAACGGGGAGGAGCCCAGAGCCUGAAUCAGCAUGUGUGUUAGUGGAAGCGUCUGGAAAGGCGCGCGAUACAGGGUGACAGCCCCGUACACAAAAGCGCAUGUGCUGUGAGCUCGAUGAGUAGGGCGGGACACGUGGUAUCCUGUCUGAAUAUGGGGGGACCAUCCUCCAAGGCUAAAUACUCCUGACUGACCGAUAGUGAACCAGUACCGUGAGGGAAAGGCGAAAAGAACCCCGGCGAGGGGAGUGAAAAAGAACCUGAAACCGUGUACGUACAAGCAGUGGGAGCACCCUUUGGGGUGUGACUGCGUACCUUUUGUAUAAUGGGUCAGCGACUUAUAUUCUGUAGCAAGGUUAACCGAAUAGGGGAGCCGGAGGGAAACCGAGUCUUAAUUGGGCGUUAAGUUGCAGGGUAUAGACCCGAAACCCGGUGAUCUAGCCAUGGGCAGGUUGAAGGUUGGGUAACACUAACUGGAGGACCGAACCGAC